ACGUAGGCAGCAAGCGUUGUUCGGAAUUACUGGGCGUAAAGGGUGUGUAGGCGGUUUGGCAAGUCUGGUGUGAAAUCUCCCGGCUUAACUGGGAGGGUGCGCUAGAAACUGCCAAGCUAGAGUGUGGGAGAGGAAAGUGGAAUUCCUGGUGUAGCGGUGAAAUGCGUAGAUAUCAGGAGGAACACCUGCGGUGUAGACGGCUUUCUGGACCACUACUGACGCUGAAACACGAAAGCGUGGGGAGCAAACAG
rnacentral:rRNA from 1 species